rnacentral:rRNA from 1 species
UACAGAGGUCUCGAGCGUUGUUCGGAUUCAUUGGGCGUAAAGGGUGCGUAGGCGGCGCGGUAAGUCGGGUGUGAAGUCUCGGGGCUUAACUCCGAAACUGCAUUCGAUACUGCCGUGCUUGAGGACUGGAGAGGAGACUGGAAUUUACGGUGUAGCGGUGAAAUGCGUAGAUAUCGUAAGGAAGACCAGUGGCGAAGGCGGGUCUCUGGACAGUUCCUGACGCUGAGGCACGAAGGCCAGGGGAGCAAACGGG